UCUCUCCCGACCUUAGAUCUUUUGGCGAGAACAUCGGCGUCGCUCCUUCGUCGAUCUCUCUCACUCUCCUCUGGCAGUUGUUUAGCGUCGCUGCUGCUGCUGAGCUUUGAAAGUUUGGAAAAUUUUGCUUAAAUGGAGGUUGCUUUGUGAAGGCUUUUGGAAGAAUGGAUGCAGCAUAUUUUUUUGCAAGGAUAUUAUCUCUAUGUGUAUUUUUGUGAUGGGUUGUAAUCUUUAAUGUCAUAAGUUUAAUUUGGUUGGUGUAUUAUUUUUUGUAAUGGUUUGUAAGAGAUUAUAUUUCCUUUCCUUGGUUGGUUGGUUGAAUGUGUGUGUGAGAUUUAUUUAGUCUAGAAACUUAGAUUGGAAUGAUGGAUUUUUAUAGCUUGAAUGUACAUAAUUUCAGGUUUUGAAAGA